rnacentral:sRNA from 1 species
AAGGCGGCGGCCGGAGCGCGAUGGCGGGGGCGGCGGGACUCACGGCAGAAGUGAGCUGGAAGGUCUUGGAGCGAAGAGCUCGGACCAAGCGCUCAGGUCUCUUUUAUUCAAAACCUUGUAUUUUGUGUGGAAAGAGUUUACCGUGUGCCUGACUUUGGUGUCUGGGAAAGAGGAAGCAAAUAUAAUAAUGGCAGCACAGAGCUACAUUCGAGGUAAUUUGCUGAUUUCUGAGGUUUUUUUUUAAAUUAAAUGUAUGGAAUUUGAAUAUGAAGAAAUACUGAAGCAUUAGAUUGGAACUGUGAUUCAUAUGUUAAUUUGUAGCAAUUUUUUUCUACCUAUGAUGCAGAUGGAAGUCACUUAAAAUUAACACAAAAGAGCCCAUCCUCAGUACCCAUAAACAGAUGCAAGAAAGAAGUAGGUGUCUUUCCCAACCUCCCAAGGUGUCAGUACAUGCAUGUCAGCCUUCAUCAUUAAUCCACAGCUUGGCCUUUCUGCUCAACCAAGUCAUUUUCUUUUUCCUCUUUGAAAUUACCUCAUUUGAAAUGUCAAGAACAUUAAAAUUUUCAAACACCAGUUGUAUAUGCACUGAAUAUAAAAUUUCCUUCCAUGUUAUAGAGCUGAUUUUUAUCCUGACCACGGAUGCUUACACUGUUCACAUAAAACUUAACAUUCAUUGUUAUCAGUAAGGUGUGUGAUCAACAUCUUGAGCUGUGGUUUAGUGCGUUUGAAUAAGCAACAAUAGCUGAUAACUGAUGUUAGUAGUUUAUGAAUUUCUUUUAAUCCUUAGGGUUAAGGAAGUAGCUUUAGUGACUGAUUGUACCUUUCCU